UACGGAGGGAGCUAGCGUUAUUCGGAAUUACUGGGCGUAAAGCGCACGUAGGCGGCUUGUAAGUUAGAGGUGAAGCCUGGAGCUCAACUCCAGAAUUGCCUUAAGACUGCAUCGCUUGAAUCCAGGAGAGGUGAGUGGAAUUCCGAGUGUAGAGGUGAAAUUCGUAGAUAUUCGGAAGAACACCAGUGGCGAAGGCGGCUCACUGGACUGUAUUGACGCUGAGGUGCGAAGCGUGGGAGCAACAGG
rnacentral:rRNA from 1 species